rnacentral:rRNA from 1 species
GUGCCAGACUCCUACGGGAGGCAGCAGUGGUUCCUCUUGCACAAUUUUUUCAACCCUGCUUCCUCGACGCCGCUUUCUUGAAGAAGUCUCUCUGUACGUACCUCUCUAUCAGCAUUUCCUCAAAUGACUUUCCCUGACCAAGCCUCCCCGGCUAACUCCGUGCCAGCAGCCGCUGUAAUACGUAGGGGUCCAGCGUUAUCCUGAUUUACUGGUUGGAAAGGGAGCGUAGACGGCAGCGCAAGUCUGGAGUGAAAGGCAGGGGCCCAACCACGGAACUGCUUUGGAAACUGUGCAGCUCGAGUGCAGGAGAGGUAAGAGGAAUUCCUAGUGUAGCGGUGAAAUGCGGAGAGAUUAGGAGGAACAACAGUGGCGAAGGAGGUCUGCUGGACAGAAACUGACGAUGAGGCGCGAAAGAGGGGGGAGCAAACAGGAGUAGAUACCCGAGUAUCG